AACAAAAACGUCUGGUGAUAAACUCCUGAUAAACCGUGAGAGUGUGAGAGGAUCAAUAGAAGAAGCUGCAGGUGUGUCUGCGGCCGCAGGGGGGCGGAGCACCGGAGAGCCGACACUAUGCACUCAGCUGACCGGAAGUAACGCAAUUUAAAUAUCAAUUGGCGGGGUGCAGACACACCUGAGCCGAGCGUGGCGGUUUGUGAACAGUAGAAAAAUAACACUGCGGUGAAACUCAGUAAGACGUCUGUAAUUAUUUUUUAUAAAGAUAAGCGUCACUGUGUGUCGGCACAGGUGAAGAACAAUAAGGUUAAUUAAUCAGUGAUUUAUUGCACCAACUGCGAGCGCGCGCCAUGCCACACAAAUUAAACACCCACACAGGUGUGCUGCUGGAUCAAGCUAACGUGUUAGCUAACUGCUAACAUGGACCCCGUGAUUUCUGCGUUCACUGAGGAACUUCUGUCUCCAGGUGUGUGUGACACCUUCCUGCUGUUUGUGACUAAUAAUCUCUGAGGUGACUCAUUCAGGAUUUGUGGUUUGCAAUGGGGAUGAGACAGUGAGUGGACUGGUUACACUGGGACCAGAGAGGCUGUUUGGACUGGUUACACUGGGACCAGAGAGGCUGUAUGGACUGGUUACACUGGGACCAGAGAGGCUGUGCGGACUGGUUACACUGGGACCAGAGAGCCUGUUUGGACUGGUUACACUGGGACCAGAGAGGCUGUUUGGACUGGUUACACUGGGACCAGAGAGCCUGUUUGGACUGGUUACACUGGGACCAGAGAGGCUGUGCGGACUGGUUACACUGGGACCAGAGAGCCCUGAGAAUGAGCCAUCAGAGAAGCUGAACCUGGAUCGGACUGAGGACUGAGACUCGCAGGAUGACGUCAGACAGGGCAGCUUUGGAAUGACAGGGCAGGGAGCAGAGAGAGAAGGGGAAUGAAACAGCGAAGGACCGCGGGUUGGAUUGAGAUACACACUCUAACAGUUGAACUAGAGGAUUACGGGAGGUCACUGUGGCCACAAAGGCGCUGCUCUUCUCAAAGGAGCACAGCUCAAAGACUGUGACAAAGAUGGCAGACCAGACAAACAAACAGGUUUCCAUGAAUCGGGUUUGCAUCUGCUGCUGUGGUCCUAACUGAUGCCUGCUGCUAUUACUAUUUAUCAUAUUUAUACUAUUUACUAUACACAAUUGUUAUUAUCACACACAUAUUAUCUUA